AAGAAGAAAAACAUCACUUGUUUGCUAGCUGUGUCCAAGAGUAGUACUUGGUGUUUUUGAGAGUGGAAAAAAUGAUGGAAUCAGGGGUUCCAUUAUGUAACAUUUGUUGCGAAAGAGGGGGGCUAGAAAAUGAAUUCUUCUGCUAAGUUUCACCUUUCCAGUUGUAAGUUAUAUAAUGUAUUCAAGUAAUACCCUCCUGCAUAG
rnacentral:lncRNA from 1 species